AGAGACAGCAGCAGCCACGGUAAUACGGAGGGUGCAAGCGUUAAUCGGAAUUACUGGGCGUAAAGCGCACGCAGGCGGUCUGACAAGUCAGAUGUGAAAUCCCCGGGCUUAACCUGGGAACUGCAUUUGAAACUGUCAGGCUGGAGUCUUGUAGAGGGGGGUGGAAUUCCAGGUGUAGCGGUGAAAUGCGUAGAGAUCUGGAGGAAUACCGGUGGCGAAGGCGGCCCCCUGGACAAAGACUGACGCUCAGGUGCGAAAGCGUGGGGAGCAAACAGGAUUAGAUACCCCUGUAGUCCCUGUCUCUUAUAA
rnacentral:rRNA from 1 species